rnacentral:tRNA from 9 species
GGGCGAUUGGCACAGUGGUAGCGCGCUACCUUCACACGGUAGAUGUCGCAGGUUCAAAUCCUGCAUCGCCCA